UCAGAUAUAGUGUAGCGGGAACACGACCUCUUGUAUUGUCUCAAAUAUGUAUUUCAGAGGCAGUCCAGGGUUCGAAUUCCUAUGUCUGAU